CCCCGCCAGGUGCCUCCACAGGCCUCAUCUCCGCGGCUCUCUAUUGUACUCGUGUAGUGAUACUAGAGUACAACCGGUUCCCGAUGAGUUGUCUGCUGCAGCAAUGGAACAAGUCACGCUGGUGCCUUCAACUCUAAAGUGGAUUGCAGGAUAUCACAGUAUGUACACAUUGGAGUGGGAAUUUUAAGAUGACUGCAAGAGAAGUACUUUGCCAGGGGCUGGAAGAGAUGGCAAGUGAAAUGAAAGGGUGCACGGGUGUCGUAGGGUCUUCCAGGUUCCUCCAAUGAUUCUGGAGAUGCCCAUUUGGAACUGAAAGCCUCUGAUACUGUAAGGUGGAAGGGAUGAUGCUCCAAACAAGGACUGACCAGUGAUCGCACCAGCUCCUCUUAGAAGCUUCUGAGGCCUAUGGGGCCUUUCGUGGGCUGCCUCUCGUCUCCCCCCACUCUUGGCUUCUCAAUUUACUCCUUUGGAUCUUUCCAGAAACCGUCUUGGGCAGUUCUGAAACAAAGGUCACCUAGUGGCCAUAAACAAAAACAUUUUGAAAUCAUCAUUUCCCAGAAAGACUUCUGUCUUGAGUCAUUACCCUCUGCUGCUUCCUUGGAAAACCUCCGUGAUUCAUAGAUUGCUCCAAAUGGCAAAGACCAAAAUGGCUAGGGCCUGGGGCAUAUGAUCUUGCCAGCAGCAAUUCAGCACCAUCCCCCUAAACCUGGUUUAUGCCACUUUUUAGGGUCAGAACAAACUGUAGUUUGGGGUGGGCCCGAUGGGGAAAUAGGGAGAAAAGGCUGAAGCAGCAGGUAGAGUUAUUUGUAUCUUCAUCCCCCCAGCACCUGACUCUGAGAGAGAAUCCACCUAGUGUGUGCUUAGGUGAUUUCCCAGCUCAUCAUGUCCUAGAACCCCCGAUGUUUACCUUCCUGGGGUACUUGUAUGGAGCAGUCACCCUCUUCACAUGCUCCUGGAGCUCCCGAGUUAGUUUCUCUGGAUCUUGAGAGGAGUAAGUUGGAGAAAGGACUAUAAAAGCCUUCACCACCUGCCAGAAAAAAAAAAAUCCAAAAACAAAACCCCCAAACCAGAAAGAAUCAGGCCCUGUAUAACAACUCUUUUCUCCUUAACCUAGCCUUGUAAAUAAGUGCUUACACUUGCCAGCCCAGCACGAAAAUCCUGCCAGCAGGAUUCAGCCAGCGAAAUGGACGACAUCAUUUUUUUUGCCCUGUUGCCUCCUUUCCAGGAACAACUAUUGGAAGCACUGGCUUUUAUGGAAUGAUUCCAGGAUCCUACCUGUUUCCCAAACUUCUCUCCUUUCCUGAAAUGACACCAUUAGCAGUCAAUGGGCUUCUCUUCCAAUGGAAAUACUUUGGAGUAAAGAGCUUCACAAACUCUAA